rnacentral:rRNA from 1 species
AGAACGAACGCUGGCGGCAUGCCUAAUACAUGCAAGUCGAACGAACACUUCGGUGUUAGUGGCGCACGGGUGCGUAACGCGUGGGAAUCUGCCCUUGGGUUCGGAAUAACAGUUGGAAACGACUGCUAAUACCGGAUGAUGACGUGAGUCCAAAGAUUUAUCGCCCAGGAAUGAGCCCGCGUAGGAUUAGCUAGUUGGUGAGGUAAAGGCUCACCAAGGCGACGAUCCUUAGCUGGUCUGAGAGGAUGAUCAGCCACACUGGGACUGAGACACGGCCCAGACUCCUACGGGAGGCAGCAGUGGGGAAUAUUGGACAAUGGGCGAAAGCCUGAUCCAGCAAUGCCGCGUGAGUGAUGAAGGCCUUAGGGUUGUAAAGCUCUUUACCCGGAUGAUAAUGACAGUACCGGAGAAUAAGCUCGACUAACUCCGUGCCAGCAGCCGC